rnacentral:rRNA from 1 species
UACGUAGGGGGCUAGCGUUGUCCGGAAUCAUUGGGCGUAAAGAGCGUGUAGGCGGUCCGGUAAGUCCGCUGUGAAAGUCGGGGGCUCAACCCUCGAAUGCCGGUGGAUACUGUCGGGCUAGAGUGCGGAAGAGGCGAGUGGGAAUUCCUGGUGGUAGCGGUGAAAUGCGCAGAUAUCAGGAGGAACACCUAUUGCGAAGGCAGCUCGCUGGGACGUAACUGACGCUGAGACGCGAAAGCGUGGGGAGCAAACAGG